GCUGGCGGCGUGCCUAACACAUGCAAGUCGAACGCUCUGCGCAAGCAGGGAGUGGCGGACGGGUGAGGAACACGUGGGUAUCUACCCAAAGGUGAGGAAUACCGGCGAGAAAUCGCCGACAAAACCGCAUACGCUUGGCAACAAGCAAAGCUCGCAAGAGCGCCAUUGGAUGAGCCUGCGGCUGAUUAGCUGGUUGGUGGGGUAAUGGCCUACCAAGGCGACGAUCAGUAUCUGGUCUGAGAGGACGAUCAGCCACACUGGGAUUGAGAACGGCCCAGACUCCUACGGGGGGCAGCAGUGAGGAAUUUUCGUCAAUGGGGGAAACCCUGAACGAGCAACGCCGCGUGCAGGAUGACGGUCUUCGGAUUGUAAACUGCUUUUCUCUGGGACGAGAACGGACGGUACCAGAGGAAUCAGCCCCGGCUAACUACGUGCCAGCAGCCGCGGUAAUACGUANGGGGCAAGCGUUGUCCGGAUUUACUGGGCGUAAAGCGCACGCAGGCGGUCUUCUACAUCUUGAGUGACAG
rnacentral:rRNA from 1 species